rnacentral:rRNA from 1 species
AGAGUUUGAUCCUGGCUCAGAUUGAACGCUGGCGGCAGGCCUAACACAUGCAAGGCGAGCGGUAGCACAGAGAGCUUGCUCUCGGGUGACGAGCGGCGGACGGGUGAGUAAUGUCUGGGAAACUGCCUGAUGGAGGGGGAUAACUACUGGAAACGGUAGCUAAUACCGCAUAACGUCGCAAGACCAAAGUGGGGGACCUUCGGGCCUCAUGCCAUCAGAUGUGCCCAGAUGGGAUUAGCUAGUAGGUGGGGUAACGGCUCACCUAGGCGACGAUCCCUAGCUGGUCUGAGAGGAUGACCAGCCACACUGGAACUGAGACACGGUCCAGACUCCUACGGGAGGCAGCAGUGGGGAAUAUUGCACAUGGGCGCAAGCCUGAUGCAGCCAUGCCGCGUGUAUGAUGAAGGCCUUCGGUUGUAAAGUACUUCAGCGGGGUAGAAGGCGAUAAGUUAAUAACCUUGUCGAUUGACGUUACCCGCAGAUGAAGCACCGGCUAACUCCGUGCCAGCACCGGUAUAA